GAUGAACGCUGGCGGCGUGCUUAACACAUGCAAGUCGAACGGAAAGGCCCAAGCUUGCUUGGGUACUCGAGUGGCGAACGGGUGAGUAACACGUGGGUGAUCUGCCCUGCACUUCGGGAUAAGCCUGGGAAACUGGGUCUAAUACCGGAUAGGACGAUGGUUUGGAUGCCAUUGUGGAAAGUUUUUUCGGUGUGGGAUGAGCUCGCGGCCUAUCAGCUUGUUGGUGGGGUAAUGGCCUACCAAGGCGUCGACGGGUAGCCGGCCUGAGAGGGUGUACGGCCACAUUGGGACCGAGAGACGGCCCAGACUCCGACGGGAGGCAGCAGUGGGGAAUAUUGCACAAUGGGCGCAAGCCUGAUGCAGCGACGCCGCGUGGGGGAUGAAGGCCUUCGGGUUGUAAACUCCUUUCGCUAGGGACGAAGCGUUUUUGUGACGGUACCUGGAGAAGAAGCACCGGCUAACUACGUG
rnacentral:rRNA from 1 species